GAUGAACGCUAGCGAUAGGCCUAACACAUGCAAGUCGAGGGGCAUCACAUGAAGUAGCAAUACGGAUGGUGGCGACCGGCGCACGGGUGAGUAACACGUAGGUUAUCUGCCCCCAUCACAGACAUAACCUCGGGAAACCGAGGCUAAUAUCUGAUGAGGUCGUGAGAUCAAAGCUUCGGCGGAUGGGGAUGAGCCUGCGGCUGAUUAGCUAGUUGGUGGGGUAACGGCCUACCAAGACGAUGAUGCGUAGCCGACCUGAGAGGGUGAACGGCCACACUGGGACUGAGACACGGCCCAGACUCCUACGGGAGGCAGCAGUAGGGAAUUUUGGACAAUGGGCGCAAGCCUGAUCCAGCCAUGCCGCGUGAGUGAAGAAGGCCUCGG
rnacentral:rRNA from 1 species